rnacentral:siRNA from 1 species
CAUUUCUCGAUUUAUGCGUGUC